rnacentral:rRNA from 1 species
UACAGAGGGGUGCUAGCGUUGUCCGGAAUCACUGGGCGUAAAGGGCGCGUAGGCGGGUCUUUAAGUCAGGGGUGAAAUCCUGGAGCUCAACUCCAGAACUGCCUUUGAUACUGAGGAUCUUGAGUUCGGGAGAGGUGAGUGGAACUGCGAGUGUAGAGGUGAAAUUCGUAGAUAUUCGCAAGAACACCAGUGGCGAAGGCGGCCAACUGGCCCGAUACUGACGCUCAUGUGCGAAAGCGUGGGGAGCAAACAGG